ACACAAGCAAUGUGAGAAGGUUAGAUUGGCUUUAAUUAUUUAUAGAUGAUUUUAGUUUAAAUUUAUAUUUGUUAGGUGAAAUUUUAAAUUUAAUUUGGGCUUGAAGUUAUUUUAAGAAGUUAGGAAAUUUAUUAAUAAACUAGGAUUAGAUACCCUAUUAUUUUAAACGUAUAAAGACUAGGCCUAAUUAGUAUUAGUUAUGUUCUUGAAAAUUAAAGAAUUUGGCGGUAUUUUAGUCUAUUCAGAGGAACCUGUCCUAUGAUCGAUAAUCCACGAUUGGCACUACUUGUCUUAAAGAAGUUUAUAUAUCGUUGUGAUUGAAUAUUUUAGGAGAAUUACAAUAUUCAAGAUUUUUAAUUAAACAGGAAUUCAGAUCAAGGUGUAGCUUAUAGACAAGCAGAGAUGGGUUACAUUAAAUUAAUUUUUGGAUCGGUAAGGUUAAACUUUCCGUGAAAUUGGAUUUGUAAGUAAUUUAAUUUUAAUUUUUUAAGUGAUUUGAGCUCUAAAAUAUGCACAUAUUGCCCGUCGCUUUUGCUUUAAGGUAAAAUAAGUCGUAACAUAGUAGACUCACUGGAAAGUGAGUC
rnacentral:rRNA from 1 species